UUUAGCUGCUGGACCUUUAGUUGUUUCUUCCUGGAUUUCCAGUUCCUCUUCAGACGAUGACUCUAUCAAGCUUGCAAUAGCUUCCUGAUUCUUCAAGGCUUGAUUGAAGCACUCUUCGAUAGCAUUGGAAUCGAAUUGAAGUGCUUCAUGACUCACCCCCUCAGAUAGAACCUUGUCCUCAAGGUUGAGGCUCGGACAAAGCUUCUGGAGUGAAGAUAUAUCCUCCCAUGUAGUAUCAUCAGGUAAGGAGUCUGACCAUUUGACUAAUAAUUGUGGAAUCUCCUUGUUCUUCCUGAAAAUGACCCUGUAUUCUAUAAAUGCAAUGGGAAAUAAAAGGUUUAUUUAAUAUAGAACAUUUAGGGAAUUUGGGAACUUCCUUCUCUGGGUCAUCUCCUUUGUAUAACUUGAGCUUGGAGAUGUGGAAAGUAGGGUGAAUCUUUCCUCCCUCAGGUAUUUGUAAUUUAUAAGCCACCGCAUUUAUCUUCUUGAUGAUUUUAAAUGGCCCAAAAUACCUCAUACCCAACUUUUGGUUGACUUUAAGAGAUACUGAUUUUUGUCUGUAUGGUUGUAGUCUGACAAAAACCCAAUCAUUCAAGUUCAAUUCAAUAUCCUCUCUUUUCUUAUCUGCCUUGUUCUUCAUUCUUGUCUGUGCAGCCAUUAAGUUCUUCUUCACACUUUCUAGCAAAGUUUCCCUUUCACACAGAUCCACUUCAACUGCGGAUACCGAAGCCUCCGAUGGAUUGAAAUGUGGGAUUAUAGGUGCUUCCCUUCCAUAGAGCACUUUAAAAGGAGACAUUCCUAUAGAUGAAUGAUAUGCAGAAUUGUACCAUAAUUCUGCCCAAGGCAGCAUUUUCAGCCAAUUUUUAGGGAUGUCAUGUACAGAUGCUUUGAGGUACAUUUCUAUAACCUUGUUUACAAUUUCAGUUUGACCAUCACUCUGUGGAUGGUAUGCAGAUGAGAAACACAGUGUUGUACCACUCAGUCUAUGAAUUUCCUUCCAGAAUUUAGAUGUAAAUAUCUUAUCUCUAUCUGAGACAAUAGUAGAAGGGAAUCCAUGCGGUUUUAUAAUAGUUUGAACAAACAACUCAGUCACCAUGGUUGCUGUGAAAUCAGUAGGUAGAGCCCCCAAAUGACAGAAUUUAGAAAAUCUGUCCACCACUACCAUAAUGACAGUUUUUCCUUUAACUUUGGGCAAAUGAGUGAUGAAAUCCAUAGAGAUAUCCUGCCAUACAUGAUGAGGAAUGGGUAGUGGCAUAAGAAGACCAUUAGGUUUGGUAUUGGUGGAUUUAGUUUGUUGACAUACCAUACAGUUUUCCACAAACUGCUGGACUGUUUUGCUCAUUUUUUUCCACCAAAAAAUAUUUUUAAUUCUUUUUAGUGUCCUCUCAACACCAGCAUGACCCCUUAAAUUGGAAGAGUGAAAUUCUUCUAAUAUUUUCUGAAUUGUUUCUGAAUCAGAAAAUAUAAAUGCCUUCCCUUUAUAAAAUAUAUGCCCCUCUUUUUCUGAAUAUUUUGUUUCUUUGGAGCUUUGGCAUCUCUUAAGAAGUUCUGGUGUUCUAGGAUCAAUUCCCAUUUCCCACUUAAUUUUUUUGAACAAUUCAUUAUGACCGUAGUGAUUGCCAUAAUAGAGCCAAAUUCAGGGUUUUCAUCAAUUUUCUUCACCCCUAUAUCAUUUUCUUUUUCACUGAGAGAUCUGGAAAGAGCAUCAGCAACUAUAUUAUCUCUGCCUGGUUUGUAUUCUAUAGAGAAUUGAAAACCUAACAAUUUAAAUAGAAAUUCUUGCUGUUCAGGUGUCUGAAUCACUUGUGUCAGUAGGUUUUUCAGUGUUCUAUGAUCAGUCCUGAUUAUAAAAUCAUUUCCCAAGAGGUAGUGCCUCCAUUUGGCAACUGCUUGUGUGAUAGCGAACAUUUCCUUUGCAUAAAUUGAUCCAGCUGCCCUUCUUCCUGUUAACUUGCAACUAUAGAAAGCAAUGGGAUGAUCUUCCUGUUGUAAAACUGUCCCAAUACCAAUUAAACAUGCGUCGGUUUCUACUAUAAAAACUUUUGCAAAGUCAGGAAAUCUUAAGACUGGUGUAGUAGUCAUGGCCUUCUUGAGUUUAUUAAAGCUAUCGGUUGCAAUGUCAGUCCAAUUAAAGGAAUCCUUUUUUAAUAAUUCAGUCAUAGGGAAAGCCAUUUGAGCGUAAUUUUUUACAAAUCUCCUAUAAUAACCGAUCAGUCCCAAAAAUCCCCUUAGUUGUUUUAUAGUGGGGAAUGGGCCAUUCAGUCAUUGCAUAGAUUUUCUGUGGAUCAGGUUUCAUACCAUUUCCAGAGAUUAUGUGGCACAAAAAGUUCAUAUUACUCUUUCCGAAGGAACAUUUAGACAUCUUAGCUAGGAGUUGGUUGGAUUUAAGAAUUUCAAAGACACAUUUUAGGUGGCUAAUAUGGUCAGGAAGGGAUUUACUAUAGACCAAUAUAUCAUCAAAAAAAAUUAUGACAUAUUUUCUAAGGAUGGAAGAGAAAACAUCAUUCAUUAUGGAUUGAAAAGUAGACGGAGCAUUGGUAAGGCCAAAUGGCAUUACUAAAAAUUCAAAAUGGCCAUGAUGUGUUCGAAAGGCUGUUUUGUAAAUAUCUUUUGGACUUACUCUAAUUUGGUGGAAACCUGACCUAAGGUAUAAUUUGGAGAAAAUAGAGGCUCCAUUCAAUUCCCCUAAUAGUUCAUCCACUGUAGGGAUGGGGAAUUUAUCCUUAAUGGUCAAGGCAUUAAGGGCUCUAUAGUCGACGCAUAGUCUAUACCCCCCAUCUUUUUUUUUAAUAAGUAGUGCUGGUGAUGAGAAGGAACUAAUACUGGGUCGAAUGGUGCCCUGAUCCAGCAUUUCUUUCACCAGUUUUUCUAUUUCUCCUUUUUGAAAUUGGGGUUGUCUAUAGGGCCUUACACAAACUGGUUUAGAAUUUGGUUCUAAGCAUAUGUUGUGGUCACGUUUCCUUUGAGGGGGUAAUCCUUUAGGAUCCUCAAAUAUUUCACAAUAUGAAUCAAUAACAGAUUGAAUUUCGGAACAAUAUACCUCAGAGUUUGGUUGAUCAUCUUCCACAGUCCUCAUCAUACAAAUGAAUGCUUCAGAAGUAUUUGCAAGCAUAUUCUUUAUUUCACCAGAUGUAAGAGGAUCAUUAUUCAACCAAGACUUCCCUUUCCAGCAAAUAUCUUGUCCCUUCCAUUUAAACUCCAUAGUGAGUUCAUUGUAGUCUGUAAUAAUUUUUCCCACAGAUUUCAUCCAUUGUACACCCAAAACAAUAUUAGAACCAGCAAAAUCUAACAAAAAUAGAUCCACUUCUAGCUUCAAAUCAUCUAUCAUAAGUGCUGCCUUCUUGCAAACUUUAGUACAUGCCAACUUAUUGCCGCUAGCAGUGAUCACAUUAAAAGGUUUGAUAGGAGAAAUAAUUAGAUUAAGGGACUGUGCGAACCCUUUUUGGAUGAAGUUAUGUGUUGAUCCCGAGUCUACCAAUAUAGUAGUAGCUUUGUUGUUCAGUGUACCACUCAGCCUGAUAGUCCUAUCACUUAUUUGUCCUUUUAGUGCAUGAAGACUGAUUUCUGUGAUUUGCAGAGGUUCAUCUUCAUCUUCCUCAUCAUCAUCAAAAACUUCCCAUAAUUCUGACUCAUCUACAGACAACCUGAAUAGUCUUCCCUUACACUCAUGAUUAGGUUCAUACUUUUCAUCACAGUUAUAGCAUAACCCUUGUUCUCUUCUGGCCUUCCUUUCUUCAGUAUUAAGCCGUUUAAAAUUUGGAAGUUUUUUUGAUUUAUUCUCUUUUGUGGGCUCUUUGGAAUACUCUUUAGAAACUUUUCUGGGGGAUUUAUAUUUAUUACUUGUGUUCUGAAAAUAUUUCGGAGCAGAUCCUUUAUUAUAAACUACCUCUGAUUUUCCCUCAGCCAACUUUGCCAUUGUAAAAGCAUCCUGCAAGUCUGCUGGUUUAAAUUUCACUACUUCUUGCUGAAUUUCUGGAUUUAGACCUGAAAUAAACAUUUUCAGAAUAAACCAAUCAGGUAUUCCAGAGAUAUCCAGAGAUAUAAACAAUGCUUGAUACUCAGAUACAGAAGCUGUCUGAUGCAGUUUGCUCAAUCUUCCCCCUGGUAGACUGACCUCAGAAGAGGAGAAUCUUCUUAAUAUAUCUUCAGCAAAUGUCGGCCAAUUUAUAAGAAGAUUGCUAGCUUCCAUGUGAGAGAACCAUUCUUGAGCUUCACCUUCCAUAUGAAAAGAAAUAAUCAGAAGUUUCUGAUUUUCUGGAAUGUUGUAAUAUAAGAAGUAUCUUCUUGUUGUAUACAACCAGUUCUUUACAUUUUUACCAUCGAACUUAGGCAUAUCUAGCCUUGAGUAUUUACUACCCUCAUGUCCUUCUUCCACAAAACUUUUAGCAUAUGCAGGAUAAUCUAAGGAAUUUGAAAAAUUAUUCAUACCACCAUUUUCUCUUGUAAAUGUACUAUUGAAUUUACUCCUCUUAGGACUUGAUGAUAUUUCUUCGUUUCUCUGUUGAAGUAUAGAUGUAGUCUUUUGGAGUUCCUCUGCUAGAAGAUUUACAGAAUUCUUCAUGGAUUCUGCUAGGCAUCUUUGAUCUUCCUUGAUUUGUGCAAUUUCUUCUAUUUGUCUCAUUUGACUGCUUUGGAUGUUCUUCAAACACAGAUCCGACAUGAUUUUUCCUGCAAUUUAGAGCACAGAGCUAUUGAAAGCACCAAUGAAACAAAACUAAAAUAGUUGUGAUAACAAAAACAAGAAUAAAUCCCAAGACCUUGAGAUUUAAGGUUGUCUCCGAUCUCAGAUCGGAAUAACGAUCUAGAUACCGAGACUAAAUGCUUUAGAAAAUUUAGUGAGGUUUAUGACCUAACGGAAACGGAUGUCUCCGAUCAACAGAUCGGAGUACGAUCUUUGAUUCCAGAGACGAGAGCGUUCUUUGAUUUCAGAAGUUCCAGAAAAAAUUAUCACAGAAGUUCCGUCGAUAGCUGAUCGGUAAGACCAAGAAUCAUGGAUAAUAGAUCCUUCUGAUUUCAGUAGAGGAAAACGUUUGGAUUUUUAUUUCAUAAUAAAAAAGUUACAUGUGGUGCCCUUAUAUAGGGAUUUACAUGUGUGUGCUGAAUUUAAAAAAAGUAAAACAAUUAUAAAUAAAAAUUGCAAUUUACCACAUAAUACUAUUAUGAAACCUGGAUGGCAGACGGGUCUCUCUGAUAGGUCGUCUUUCCCUUACUUCUUCCUCACCGUCUUCCUCCUCACUGAGACCUUUAGCUGCUGGACCUUUAGUUGUUUCUUCCUGGAUUUCCAGUUCCUCUUCAGACGAUGACUCUAUCGAGCUUGCAAUAGCUUCCUGAUUCUUCAAGGCUUGAUUGAAGGACUCUUCGAUAGUAUUGGAAUCGAAUUGAAGUGCUUCGAACAAGUUUUAGUUAAUUGGAUGGGGCGACCAGAUCACAAGAAAUCGUGGGAGGAUUUGGAAUGGAUCAUACACUUGAAUCCCGAUUCCAACCUUUAGGCCAAGGUUCGUUCUGCAGGAGAAGGGGAUGUAACAAUCGGAAUUUAUCCGAUUGCGGCCAGAGCACAGCUGGAACUAGAUCUACGGGAGAAGUUUCCACCGGAGGAAGAAGGGAACCAAUUGGUUAAGGAAUCCGACCGGUCAACCUGGACAACGCACGACCCAGCCGCGCCCGACGUUCUACUCGGAAGACGGAUUUCUGUUACGAUUAAUGUUAUAGUGCCACUGUCGGCAAUUAGUAGUAAGAGGGUUGUUUUACUUUUUUUCCAGGAAGAUUGAUUAUAAAUAAUGGAAACAAAUGCCAGUAGAGAAUCGAAAAUUACAACCAACAACUUCUUAAUCCACCUCUGGUUCUUCCGUGAACAAAUUUUUUCCCUCCUCCGGCCCGACUCAGGAUUUCCUCUUUUCCCUCUAAACUUCCUGACGACUCCGCUGUCCUCCGACCGGCAGCUCUGUUACAGUGGUCAGUUGGAAAAGGUUGAGAAAAACUACAAGGAGACGAUAAUAGUAAGAAGAUUAUCGGUUGAAAAAAUUGGGAGCAACUAUGCAACCCAAUUCGCGAAGGUCCAAUGGGGCAUCCCCGGCGACCAAUUCACCAUUCACAUAAGAAACAAUGGGGUGUUUACACUUUAGUUAGAGGAUGGAAGGAAGGGAAGGACUUGGGAAAAGCUAGAAUAGAUACCCUUCCCAUUUGGGUCACUCUCCCGAACUUCCCAACACACCUAUGGGAUACUGAGAUUUUCUCAGCUAUCAUAAGUGUGCUUUGGAUGCCAAUCAGAGUGGAUGCACACACUGCAACUGCCCUCCAAAGAGAUGGGGCGAGAAUUCUAGUGAAUAUGAGAGCAUUCGGAGAUUUCCCAAAGAAGAUACCGAUUUUCGUUAAAGAAGGAGAGGGGUUAAUUAUAGAAGAAAAUAUACAGUGCUACUAUCACAAACCUCCUCUUAAAUGCUGGAAAUGAAAAAAAAUUGGGCAUUGGACAAACCAAUGCAUAGUAGCAUCAAACCUCGCAGGAGAAAAUGAUCAAAUGAAGAACUCCGGUGAAGAUAGAAUGGAGGUAGAGGAUGACAGAUCGUUACGUCAAGCCGGUUCACAAGAAAACCAAAUCAAAGAAGAAAAAAAUGAAAAUCAGUGGAAAAACAGUAAUAAAAUGAAACAUAGAAGUGAAUAUUUAGUUAAUAAUGAAGACUUUUUUGACCACCUAGAAAAGGAUUAUCCUAAUCUAGGGCUAAUAGGGGAUAGGCAAGAUAGGGGCAAACAAGAAAAGGACAGUGAAAAUAACUCAAAGGGUAAGGAUAAGACCAAUGAUGUGCUUACCACCAACAAAAACAAUGAUAAAUAUGGGGAUAAGGCUCAAAAUACGGUAUCCUCACCCACCACAUUUAGAAAUGAUAAGGAUAACAAUAAGAGAGGAGGAAAAAUUAAUACUAAGCCAUCCGGAUCCCAAGAAAAAAUAAACGGAUCAUAUGAGGAUUCAACAAAGGAUCCGAUUAAGACCAAGUCUAGAUCCGAAGGGGGAAACAAGGUAGGGGCUGAUCCAAAUAAGGUUAAAGAUCCAUUUAAGAUUCAUGGAUCAACUGAGACCCGACCAAAUUCAUCCAAGAACCAUGGAGAGCAUCCAAGGAUCCAAAAAGGACUACCCGGGAGUCACCAAGAACCACUUCCAAUGGAUCUUAGUGGAUCCCCGGGGGAUCUUAAUGAACCCUUUGAUAAUUUAAACGGACCUAAGGUAGAUCUGAUUAAUGAUAUGACAGGAUCCGGGGUGGGACAAAUCAGACCUGAUAACCUAACAAUCGGAGCCAAAGAGCUAGGUGGGGUCAAUGAAGAACUAGCGAGAACCUACUUAGAACCACCUGAGAAGCAAGAACUAUUAGCGAAUUACUUCAGGAGCCAACAAGAUGCACUUGCAAUGGCCCUUGAGAACCCCAACGGAGAAAUGGAUAGAUCAUAUUGA
rnacentral:lncRNA from 1 species